rnacentral:tRNA from 1 species
ACCCAUUUGGCUCAGUGGGUAGAGCGUCAGCCUGCGGACUGAAAGGUUCCGGGUUCGAUUCCGGUCAAGGGCA